GACGAACGCUGGCGGCGUGCUUAACACAUGCAAGUCGAACGGUGAAGCGCCUUCCUUUUUGGUGGGUGUGGAUGAGUGGCGAACGGGUGAGUAACACGUGAGUAACCUGCCCCCUUCUUCUGGAUAACCGCAUGAAAGUGUGGCUAAUACGGGAUAUUCUGGGUCUGUCGCAUGAUGGGUCUGGGAAGGAUAUUGUUUCGGUGGGGGAUGGGCUCGCGGCCUAUCAGCUUGUUGGUGGGGUGAUGGCCUACCAAGGCGGUGACGGGUAGCCGGCCUGAGAGGGUGGACGGUCACACUAGGACUGAGACACGGCCCAGACUCCUACGGGAGGCAGCAGUGGGGAAUAUUGCACAAUGGGCGCAAGCCUGAUGCAGCGACGCCGCGUGAGGGAUGGAGGCCUUCGGGUUGUGAACCUCUUUCGCCAGUGAAGCAGGCCUGCCUCGUUUGUGGGUGGGUUGACGGUAGCUGGAUAAGAAGCGCCGGCUAACUACGUG
rnacentral:rRNA from 1 species